AGGAAUAUGUAAUUUUUUUCUGGUACCAUAUAAUCCCUUAUCUAUCAUUACUUAGUAUCAAUCCAAAAUGCAUAGUGGUUUCCCUAUAAUAAAUACAUCUUAGGCAUAGUUCCUAUUUUAUAUUUGAUUUCCUACUGACAUUGUUCUAUUGCUUCAUACUACCUCAUAUUUUGAUAAUAUGCCAAGGCUGUGGAAGUCCUUUCUCAAAUAUAAAGAAUUAAGUAAUACAUCACAUAAAAGUAAUACAUAUUUUCUUUUUCAUUUCUUGUCCUUUUAAAAUGCCUGUAUGUUGCUACUGGUUUGCAGUGAAAAUAAACAAGUAAAUUAAUCCAUUAAUUUUAACAGAUCCCUUUUAUAUAUCUCAAAUAGUCCUAAAAAGAUCAAGACAAAAACCUUAAUAUACAUGUCUAUACAUUUAAGUAAUUCAAAAGAAGAAUUAUGUUCAAUCUCUUCCGGUUUUUGUUUGUUCUCCAAAUAGUAAAUACAAAAAUUAGCAUCUGAUACAAAUAUAAAAGAUCCUGCAAGAUCUUUACCAGUAAAUUCUCUAAGAAAGGAAUUCUCUUACCUAGGUCCCUUCCCUGCUCUAGACCUCAGUUUUCUUAUCUAUAAAAUGAUAGAGAUUGGAUGAAGAAGUCUCCAAGGUUCCUUUCAGCAAUAUAAUGCAAUGACUAUAACUGAAACAUUUCUUUAUUCCACCUGAUCCCCAUUUUUUUCUCCUAUAUUUUCUAUUCUGUCUUCCUUAGAAACCUCUGUUCUUUCUUAAGUCACAUGACAGUGGAUACUAAUUUAUCAUAUAUAUUAAUAUAAUCUUUCCCUCAACUGAGUUAAGAUCAAAGAAUCUUACAUUUUUCAAGAGCUUUAAGUAUCAUCCAUUUUCCAGAUUAAAAAAAAAACAAAACAAUAACCAAAAAAUGAAGUAAUUGACUCAGUGGCAUAGAUCUAGAAUUUAAACCCAGCAUUCCAGAUUCAGGACACUUUCCAUGAUACCAGCUUUCUCCUCUUUCUGUGAGUAAAACCCCAUCUUUGUUUUCUCAAACUAUUUGAGUAUGCUUUCCCCCCAAAAUGGUAGAAAUAUCCACCACCCCAUAAGUUCUUUGCUAAUGUGACCUGGACGCUUCCCUGUUAAGAGGUGGAGUCUCUGUCCCCUUGAAUCAGGGCAGGCUUGUGACUGCUUCAACCCAUAGACCACAGUGGAAGUGAUGCUGUGUGACCUCAGAGGCCAUGCCACAAAAGGUGAUGCAGCUUCUGUCAGGUUCAUAGUAACACUUGAGCUUGGAGACCUACAACACUAUUUAUCCUCAGGCCACCAUGCUGUGAGGAAGCCAGGCCACAUGGAGAGGUCACAUGUAUCUCUACAGAGGAUGACUGCUUUUCACUUUGGGGUGCCCCACAAGGAUUCAAAGACGCUAAGCAUCUACCUGGCCUCUACCUCUAGAAGCCAACAUUCUCCAUCUGAGUUGUGACAACCAAAAAGUCCCCUGACAUUGCCAAUGUCCCCAGUUUGCAGGUUCUUUUGGCAAUACCGGAAUUGACCUCAUUAUGCCCCCUCAGAGACACCAGUAGCAGCCACUACUGGGGAGUGACCUUCUUCGAAGUUCUGAUCAUCAGCUCCUCAGGGCCUCUGCUCUGAGCUGCAAGAGUGAUAAUGACUAUAACCUUGACAUAUGCCAAGAAAUAGAGCCAGCAGGAGCGUAGGAUGCUCGUCUUCAUUCAACAGACAUGUAUUGAACACCUACAAAUAGACUGGCACUCUACUAGGCUUUGGGAAUAAAAGCAUUUAGGGAUGAGAAGGAACUUGUCAAGUGAAGGACACACCAUGCACACCUGGCUGAAGGAAUCAUCUCUGCUGGAAUGCAAAGGCCUGGGAAGUAUGGAGUAUUGGAAGAGUUCAGUUUUCAGCGUGAUUGGAAGAUAGGAUGCCUGGUACAUAGGAGCAGGAGACUGCAAAAGGCUUUAUAUGCUGUCAAGAUCUUCAUAUGCUAUGUAACAGAGAUUAAACUCAAUUGUACACAAAAUAGAGAGAUAAAAGAGGUCUCCAAUAAAUGGUUAUUGCAGUAGUCUCCUGACUCCAGUCUAAGCAGUAAUUGUAACUGGGGGCAAUUUUGUUCCCUGAGGGGAAAUCUGACAAUAUCUGGGAGCAUUUUUGAUAAUCAUCACCCUGGGGAGUGCUACUGAUAUCUAGUGGGUAGAGGUCAGGGAUGAUGCUAAACAUCCUACAAUGCACAGGACAGCUCCCAUCACAAAGAAUUACCCAGUGCAAAAUGUCAACAGUACUAAGGGUUGCGGAAUUCUGAUCACAGCUAUGGGUUUAGGCACUAAAAUGCUUUUGUACAGAAGCUUCUAAAGUGGGCUGGAUGUGGCGGUAAGAAAAUGAGAAGGGUCCACAGUGAUUCCUACAGUAGCCAUCUCAGGAGUUAAGGCGGUCACUGAUGCCAUUAACUGGGAGUGAGUGAAGUAAGGUUUUCUGGGGAUGAUAACGAAGCAUUCUGAUUCAUUUGUGUCCCAAAGUCAUGAUGCUCCUACCACAAAAGUGACAAUGUAUAAUCAUCCAAAUGGAAAACUGAGAUUUGGUUAUAUAUCAUCCCUUGCUUAUAGGGACACAGAGACUUUGUUAGUUCUUCAGCUCCUAUAUCAGCAUAAUAGUAAUGAAUAAAGCCCAUGGAAUACUGGUCACUAAAUGGCUACAGUGAAAUACUCUUAAGUGCUCCAUUUAGGGAAAUAAUAUAUAUUAUAUAAUAUCACUAAUAAAUAUUAAAAACUAAUAGUGUUUCUGCUUAUCUGGUUAUUAUUGCUUGGUCCCCCCCCCCUUUGAAUAAAGGUAUACUAAGCAGAAAUUUAUUAGUAUGCCAUGAUAUCCUUUAUAAUAUUCAUACAAUAUUAUUUCUUUCUAUUGAUUAGUGAUAUAUAUUUAGAUAUUGACAAAGACUCUCUCUCCUUGACUAAACUUUAGUUAGGUUUCUGCAAACUCUCUAAGCCUUGAUCUUGGCAUCCAUCCUUAAUGGACCUAAAUCACCCAGUUGUGGCAAGAAUCUUGCUAAGUCUGUUUAGAGGAAACUACCCACAUUCAACUCAAUAUCUGGUUAAGUUUCUCAUGCUUCACCCUUAGUAUAUGAUCAUCCCUUCACCCCUCCCCCCAUUCUUCAUCUCAGUAACUUUCCAUACACUGACCUCCUACUCUGCUCCUUGCCAAUAGAUCCCCACUUGCCUAUGCUCUAUUCAGAAUGGAGCCCAGUUCUAUACAGGGAUCUCUUUUACUCUGUUGCAAUAAUUCCUGAAUAAAAUCUAUAAUUAAAAUCCACUUUAAUCACUGUCCAGCUCUGGUUUUCUUUAACAAUAUCAUCCUAAAGUAUCAGUUUAAGCAAUCUCAACAAGUCCAAAUACAUACCAGGUACCAUUACUAUGCUAAGUGGUUAUAUCAGUAGGGACUAAGCAGGAAAUAGGACCAUUUGAGCAUUUAAAACAGAUUUAGUUUAGCACAAGGAAUUGGUUACACAGGUGAAGAACGAGACAGAAGCCAAACAGAGAACAGUGAGCCAAGGCAGAGAUUACCAAAACAAGAAUUUAGGAUGACUGUCCAUGGGCCAAAGGGACAGAGAGAGGAACCAGAUUUACCAAAGCCCAGGGACCAGAGUCACCUCACAGAAGUUGACAUUGUGGUGCAACUGGCCAGCAGGAACUGGGGCCACAAAGCAGACAGACUGCUGCCAGAUACACCACCUAGGGUGAAAAGAAGAAGGGAGGGGUAUCUUUGCUUCUCUCUCCCCUACACCUCUAAUUUAAUCUCCCAUCAGUGUUGUCUACUGACCCCAGCUGGAAGCUGGGAACCUGGGAACCUGGGAAAAAGGCAGCCUGCAGUGGUCUAUCCACUUGAUACACAGACCACAGCAGGGGGAAAGGCCAUGAAUGGAUCUGAGGCUGGAGACACUACAGCCUGGCAGAGUGGUAUAUUCAGUAUCUUAUUUAAUUUGUGCAACACUCAAUAAGAUAUUAUCACCCCCUUUGAUAGUUAAGGAAACUUAAACUCAUGGAGGUUAAAUGACUUGCUCAAAGGUUCAAGGCUCAUAAGGGGCAGAUCUGAAAGUUUUAACAAGGUCUAUUCUGAUCCCUGCUGCUUCUUCAGAAAAGGCUUGAACAUCACAGCUGGGCUUUCAGGCUUGUAAAUCCUGAAGAACAAUUCCAAGCAGGACUGACAUAUUCCUGGGAAACAAAAUAGGGCGAUAGUCUAAAUCACAGAGAGAUACUCUGGCAAUGCAAAGAUGCAGGACCUAAGAACCCAGACUGCAGACUGAACCUUUUUAUUAAACAAAGAUUCUAGCUUAACAUCUUACAUAAAUCAUUAUUGUUCUGCUUAAUGGGGCUGCUAUAAACCUAAUUACCCGAGGAUUUGCAAGCAUUUUAAUGAAAAAUACACUGGUAUUUUAGAGGAAAGUAAUUGGGCCCAGGGGGAAACAGUUUGGAUAUAGGAGAGAUUUAUCCUUGGUAGUCAACAAUGAGCUCUGUUACCUGGGAGAUGUAACACAUUAGGAAAGAUGAGUUUAUAUGAUAAGCUGCUGACAACCCAAAGCAUAACCUGCACAUAAGUAGAAGGGCACAGGAGAAAUGGUUUCUAUGGAGGAUAAGAGGUGGUAGGUAAGGGGAAAGGAAGGAAGGUGAGUUGUCUUGUAGAGAGAUAAAGGCUACCUUGAGAAUACUGGAUUUGCUAGAGAAGUUUAUUGGACUUGUUAGAAAGCUGUUAACCUAUAAUUAACUUGCAUGGAUUUAGAAGGUUAAGUAAUAUAAAAAAUUCCUCUUCUUGGGUG